rnacentral:ncRNA from 1 species
CUAACAAAAGGAAAUGGUGUUCUUCCUUACCCAACCGCUUUUCAGAAAGCUGAUGACGCCUGAUUAAAA